UUUUUUUUUUUUUGUUUUUUUUUUUUUUGGUUCUUUUUUUCGGAGCUGGGGACCGAACCCAGGGCCUUGCGCUUCCUAGGUAAGCGCUCUACCACUGAGCUAAAUCCCCAGCCCCUAUCAACAAUUAUUUUAAUCCUGUGGAUCAGCCUCCCUGAAAGACUAAUUCGUACGUGUAUGGUCAACUGGUACGAAUGGCAUAUGCACAGUGGAGGUCAUAGGUCAGAAGGAGCACAGGAUCCCCCUGAACCGGAGCUGCAGACGUUGAGAGCUGCUAUGUAGGUGCUGAGAACCGAAGCCUGGUCCCUGGAAGAACAGUGAGCUCAGCAGGGGCGCCAGCUCCUGAGUCAGCUCUGUAUAGCCACUCUGUUUAUCUGCACUUCUCAUCCCUGGAGAAAGACCCACGCGCCUGACAGCUGUAGUUGUGCCUUUGGGACGAUGAGUUUGGUUUGCUGCCGUCUCAUGUACACAUCACAUCUUUUGCUCAUAUUCAGACCCCUCCAUUAACUGUCAAGUUGGUUUUCUUUUUGUUUGUAUUUCCCAGUUUCUAAGUAUAUUUUGCACUUGAGAGUGUGUGCAUGUCGUGGCUGAGCCAUCUUGCUGUCCCAGCUGCAAAACUUUUGAAUAGUGUGAAGGGCCCUCCCCCCUGAGCGGAGGUAGGGCAAGCUUGUGUCUAGUGUCCAACCUCCUGUUCCCGCCUUGCUCAGUUCCUCACGCCCUCCGUUGAGAAGUCACGCAGCCUCUUGGGCAGCACUAAUUUCAGUCUUUUCCUUGCAGAGAUGCUGAGGAUGCCAUCUAUGGAAGAAACGGUUAUGACUACGGCCAGUGUCGACUCCGGGUGGAAUUCCCCAGGGCUUACGGAGGUCGGGGAGGGUGGCCCCGAGC
rnacentral:lncRNA from 1 species